AAACCCAGAAGGAAGUGUAGAAAAUGAUAAUGACAAGGGAAAAGUUAGAGGAGUUGACUUCUCUGGUCCUGUUCCAAAAGUAUAUUACCAGCAACAUACUAGGGUUCAAGAAUCCCUAGAACCCGAAAAUCUCUAUGAUCCAGGUAGCCCUACAGCCUCGGACAUGGAACCUCCCCCCACCAUACCUCGUCAAAAGAUUAGAACUAACCCAGGAUUAGAGGUCAUCAAAUCUAAUAAUGAGUAUACUCCAAACCUCAAAGCUCUUGAGGUCCUCUGGUAUCUU
rnacentral:lncRNA from 1 species